UACGUAGGUGGCAAGCGUUGUCCGGAAUUAUUGGGCGUAAAGCGCGCGCAGGCGGUUCCUUAAGUCUGAUGUGAAAGCCCACGGCUCAACCGUGGAGGGUCAUUGGAAACUGGGGAACUUGAGUGCAGGAGAGAAGAGUGGAAUUCCACGUGUAGCGGUGAAAUGCGUAGAGAUGUGGAGGAACACCAGUGGCGAAGGCGGUUCUCUGGGCCUUACCUGACGCUGAGGAGCGAAAGCGUGGGGAGCGAACAGG
rnacentral:rRNA from 1 species